GGCGCGCAUAAGUCUAUACAAUGAACUAUAGAGUGCUCAAGAACGUGGUACCCCGAACGAGCAUAAUAUAUGAUUUCGAUAUUUUUUGUUGAGUUUUUUUCUCAAGGUCUUGCUUACUUUAUUUCCUUCCACUCGUGAGCUCACUACGUGAUCAUAGUGAUCAAACGUAGUGUCCAGGCCUUGUUACAGGUGUUUAAAAUUAGAUCAAUUAGAUUGCAUAGUUCAUUGUAUAGACUUAUGCGCGCCUCGUACUUAGCGAGUGUUGCUGCUUUGUCGAAUGUCAAACAAAGACAUAAAAAUAUGAAAUCUAUUAUGCUCGUUAUUAAUUUAACUAGAGCACUUUUAGUGCAAUGAUCUAAUUGUUUACUUAAACACCUGUAACCUUAUUGUUGGUGGCAUAAUUACCCUUCGUUUCUACCUGUUGCACUAUGAAUUGCCUAGAGUAUAUAUAACUGGCAGACAACCCUGGUCAUACAAUGCUUCUCCUAGGUUUGAUAUAGUGUGCGAAGAUGGGAAGAAAUAGAAGAGGUCGUGGCCGUAGAGGAACACGACUAUGUAAUUUUAAUAUCAAUGAAUAAAAUUCUUUACGUUUACAGUGUGGUUUCCUUCCAUUUAAGUGUCCAUCCAGGGUCACAAGGCCUGGACACUACGUUUGAUCACUAUGAUCACGUAGUGAGCUCACGAGUGGAAGGAAAUAAAGUAAGCAAGACC